CUUUUGCAUAGGUCAACAUUCUAGUUUCCACACACUUAUUGCUCAAGGCUAUAUUUUACGCAGGGCAACGUUCUAGUUUCCACACACUUACUGCUCAAGGGACUUCGCGGGGUCAUAACUUUUGACUCGGUUGUCCGAUUGGGCUGAAAUUUUACGUGGACGUAGAUCUUGAGGAGUUGAUUGGAUUGUCGACCGAACAAACUUCGGUAGGGCCCUACAUUUUCAGGGUCGGAUUCCUUCAUCUAAGGCCUCAAAAUUGGCUUUUACUCUUUUUUCGAUUUUUUUAGAAAGUUGGUUUUUUAGUUAAU